AUUAACAUAUAUGGAAAAAACGAAAAAAAAUUUUUUUUUUGUAAUACGCCCUUAUAGUUUUAAGAAAACAUUUUUCUAAAACCGUAAGGGCGUAUCCUGUUUUUCCGGUUUAUUAUCAUUUAUAGGUGAGAGUAAGAAAAAAAAUUGCAAAGGUAAUAGAAAUUAUCACUUCACAACUUAAUUUAUGUCAACAAAUAUUUAUUUAAGUGAAAA